UUUCCCUCAGGAUGGUUGGAACUCUUGUGGGGUAAAGCGAAUGAUUAAAGGCAUCGGGGGUGAAACACCCUCAAACCUAUUCUCAAACUUUAAAUAAGAGUUGCUAUGAGAAUAUUUUGAGAAUGUUUUAUGCCU
rnacentral:ncRNA from 1 species